rnacentral:rRNA from 1 species
GAUGAACGCUAGCGGCAGGCUUAAUACAUGCAAGUCGAGGGGCAUCAAGGUACACGAAAGUGUAUUGUUGGCGACCGGCGGACGGGUGAGUAAUAGGUAGGUAACCUACCUCAUACUGAGGCAUAGCUGGGAGAAAUUCCAGGUAAUUCCUCAUGAGGUUAUAUGACACAUGUGAUAUAAUCAAAGGUAUCGCAAGGUACUGGUAUGAGAUGGGCUUACUGACCAUUAGCUAGUUGGUGAGAUAAGAGCUCACCAAGGCGAAGAUGGUUAGGGGUUUUGAGAGAGAGAUCCCCCACAUUGGAACUGAGAUACGGUCCAGACUCCUACGGGAGGCAGCAGUAGGGAAUAGUUGGGCAAUGGGCGGAAGCCUGACCCAGCCAUGCCGCGUGAAGGAAGACGGCCUUAUGGGUUGUAAACUUCUUUACUAUGCGACUAACUAGAUUUACGAGAUAAUUCUAUAGAAUGUAGCAUAGCAAAAAGCAACCGGUA